rnacentral:rRNA from 1 species
AUACGUAGGGUGCAAGCGUUAAUCGGAAUUACUGGGCGUAAAGCGUGCGCAGGCGGUUUUGUAAGACAGUGGUGAAAUCCCCGGGCUCCACCUGGGAACUGCCAUUGUGACUGCAAGGCUGGAGUGCGGCAGAGGGGGAUGGAAUUCCGCGUGGAGCAGUGAAAUGCGUAGAUAUGCGGAGGAACACCGAUGGCGAAGGCAAUCCCCUGGGCCUGCACUGACGCUCAUGCACGAAAGCGUGGGGAGCAAACAGGAUUAGAUACCCUGGUAGUCCACGCCCUAAACGAUGUCAACUGGUUGUUGGGGAUUUAUUUUCUCAGUAACGAAGCUAACGCGUGAAGUUGACCGCCUGGGGAGUACGGCCGCAAGGUUAAAACUCAAAGGAAUUGACGGGG